GCUGCGGUGGGAGGACAAACGGAAGUGUUGUAGGACCGGUGAUGCCAGAAUGGCAUAUUGUUUUGUACCAGACUGCAACUCUUAUCAAAAACGAGGAAGUUAUCAAAACUUGUCAUUUCAUUGAUUUCUGAGUAACCCAGACACCCGUCGCCAGUGGAUUGUCAAGAUACGGAGGGAUGUUGGACGACCCUAUUUUCAGAUCACAGACAACACAAGAGUGUGCUCCAAACACUUUUCAAAGGACUGCAUUGUAAGAUUGCUCACCGGGUUGACAAAGUGAAAAACGGGAAUGUGCCAACUUUGUUUGCAUGUUGUCAGCCGAGGACGAGGAGGACAAUUCAACGCACCCAGAGGGUCCCUGUUUGUGGUAGGGGGGCAAGAGCAUCACAAUCCGGAUCAGAAAGUGAACCAUUUUCUAAUCAGGUUUUGGAGGCACUGCGUGAUCUUGACUACCUGGAGGAGACACUAUCUGUGGAAGAACAACUUGUUGCAGCACAGAGGGAGAUUGCUCGUCUGGUUGUGUUUAAUAUCAUUA